rnacentral:piRNA from 1 species
UGACAUGGCCCCAGGCUACUGGAGAC